CUUACGGGAGGCAGCAGUGGGGAAUUUUGGACAAUGGGGGCAACCCUGAUCCAGCAAUACCGCGUGCAGGAAGAAGCCCUUCGGGUUGUAAACUGCUUUUGUACGGAAGGAAACGGUAAGAGUUAAUACCUCUUGCUAAUGACGGUCCCGUAAGAAUAAGCACCGGCUAAUUACGUGCCAGCAGCCGCGGUAAUACGUAGGGUGCAAGCGUUAAUCGGAAUUACUGGGCGUAAAGCGUGCGCAGGCGGUUUUGUAAGACAGGCGUGAAAUCCCCGGGUUCAACCUGGGAAUGGCGCUUGUGACUGCAAGGCUCGAGUACGGCAGAGGGGGAUGGAAUUCCGCGUGUAGCAGUGAAAUGCGUAGAUAUGCGGAGGAACACCGAUGGCGAAGGCAGUCCCCUGGGCCUGUACGGACGCUCAUGCAGGAAAGCGUGGGGAGCAAACAGGAUUAGAUCCCCUGGUAGUCCACCCCUUAAACGAUGUCAACUGGUUGUUGGGUCUUCACUGACUCAGUAACGAAGCUAACGCGUGAAGUUGACCGCCUGGGGAGUACGGCCGCAAGGUUGAAACUCAAAGGAAUUGACGG
rnacentral:rRNA from 1 species